GAUGAACGCUGGCGGCGUGCCUAAUACAUGCAAGUCGAGCGAAGCGGGGACGGGUGAGUAAUACGUGGCUAACCUCCUAUAAGACUGGGAUAACAUCGGGAAACCGGAGCUAAACCGGAUACUUAUUGAUUGAUCCGCGCUGCAUUAGCUAGUUGUUAAGGUACCGGCUUACCAAGGCAACGAUGCAUAGCCGACCUGAGAGGGUGACCGGCCACACGGGUGCGACGACACGGUCCCGACUUCUACGGGAGACAGCAGUAAGGAAUCUUCCGCAAUGGGCGAAAGCCGAUCGGAGCAACGCGGCGUGAGUGAUGAAGAUCUUCGGAUCGUAGAGCUCUGUUAUUAGGGAUGCGGUACCUAAUCAGAAAGCCCCGGCUAACUACGUGCCAGCAGCCGCGGUAAUUC
rnacentral:rRNA from 1 species